rnacentral:rRNA from 1 species
CGAAUUCAGACAAACUCCGAAUGCCAAUUAAUUUAACUUGGGAGUCAGAACAUGGGUGAUAAGGUCCGUGUUCGAAAGGGAAACAGCCCAGACCACCAGCUAAGGUCCCAAAAUAUAUGUUAAGUGGAAAAGGAUGUGGCGUUGCCCAGACAACUAGGAUGUUGGCUUAGAAGCAGCCAUCAUUUAAAGAGUGCGUAAUAGCUCACUAGUCGAGUGACACUGCGCCGAAAAUGUACCGGGGCUAAACAUAUUACCGAAGCUGUGGAUUGUCCUUUGGACAAUGGUAGGAGAGCGUUCUAAGGGCGUUGAAGCAUGAUCGUAAGGACAUGUGGAGCGCUUAGAAGUGAGAAUGCCGGUGUGAGUAGCGAAAGACGGGUGAGAAUCCCGUCCACCGAUUGACUAAGGUUUCCAGAGGAAGGCUCGUCCGCUCUGGGUUAGUCGGGUCCUAAGCUGAGGCCGACAGGCGUAGGCGAUGGAUAACAGGUUGAUAUUCCUGUACCACCUAUAAUCGUUUUAAUCGAUGGGGGGACGCAGUAGGAUAGGCGAAGCGUGCGAUUGGAUUGCACGUCUAAGCAGUAAGGCUGAGUAUUAGGCAAAUCCGGUACUCAUUAAGGCUGAGCUGUGAUGGGGAGAAGACAUUGUGUCUUCGAGUCGUUGAUUUCACACUGCCGAGAAAAGCCUCUAGAUAGAAAAUAGGUGCCCGUACCGCAAACCGACACAGGUAGUCAAGAUGAGAAUUCUAAGGUGAGCGAGCGAACUCUCGUUAAGGAACUCGGCAAAAUGACCCCGUAACUUCGGGAGAAGGGGUGCUCUUUAGGGUUAACGCCCAGAAGAGCCGCAGUGAAUAGGCCCAAGCGACUGUUUAUCAAAAACACAGGUCUCUGCUAAACCGUAAGGUGAUGUAUAGGGGCUGACGCCUGCCCGGUGCUGGAAGGUUAAGAGGAGUGGUUAGCUUCUGCGAAGCUACGAAUCGAAGCCCCAGUAAACGGCGGCCGUAACUAUAACGGUCCUAAGGUAGCGAAAUUCCUUGUCGGGUAAGUUCCGACCCGCACGAAAGGCGUAACGAUUUGGGCACUGUCUCAACGAGAGACUCGGUGAAAUCAUAGUACCUGUGAAGAUGCAGGUUACCCGCGACAGGACGGAAAGACCCCGUGGAGCUUUACUGUAGCCUGAUAUUGAAAUUCGGCACAGCUUGUACAGGAUAGGUAGGAGCCUUUGAAACGUGAGCGCUAGCUUACGUGGAGGCGCUGGUGGGAUACUACCCUAGCUGUGUUGGCUUUCUAACCCGCACCACUUAUCGUGGUGGGAGACAGUGUCAGGCGGGCAGUUUGACUGGGGCGGUCGCCUCCUAAAAGGUAACGGAGGCGCUCAAAGGUUCCCUCAGAAUGGUUGGAAAUCAUUCAUAGAGUGUAAAGGCAUAAGGGAGCUUGACUGCGAGACCUACAAGUCGAGCAGGGUCGAAAGACGGACUUAGUGAUCCGGUGGUUCCGCAUGGAAGGGCCAUCGCUCAACGGAUAAAAGCUACCCCGGGGAUAACAGGCUUAUCUCCCCCAAGAGUUCACAUCGACGGGGAGGUUUGGCACCUCGAUGUCGGCUCAUCGCAUCCUGGGGCUGUAGUCGGUCCCAAGGGUUGGGCUGUUCGCCCAUUAAAGCGGUACGCGAGCUGGGUUCAGAACGUCGUGAGACAGUUCGGUCCCUAUCCGUCGUGGGCGUAGGAAAUUUGAGAGGAGCUGUCCUUAGUACGAGAGGACCGGGAUGGACAUACCUCUGGUGUACCAGUUGUCGUGCCAACGGCAUAGCUGGGUAGCUAUGUGUGGACGGGAUAAGUGCUGAAAGCAUCUAAGCAUGAAGCCCCCCUCAAGAUGAGAUUUCCCAACUUCGGUUAUAAGAUCCCUCAAAGAUGAUGAGGUUAAUAGGUUCGAGGUGGAAGCAUGGUGACAUGUGGAGCUGACGAAUACUAAUCGAUCGAAGACUUAAUCAA